UCCCUUCCCUCCCUCCCUCCAUGUGUGUGUGUCUCUCUCUCUCUCUCUCUCUUUCAUCAUGCCUUCAUGAGCCCAGCCUUUUCUGUCUAGCCUGCUUGGUCCUCAACUUUUUUCAAUUUCCCUCCAAAUUCUCUAUCAUCUCCGGAGUCCCUUUUCUUGCAGAUUUUAAACCUCUUCAGCUUUCUGCCUGGAAAGACAGCAGCAGGAUCCGUCCCGUCCCAUGACUUGUUGGCCAACCGGAUAAAACAGCUUAACCCAAUAAAACAACUUAACUCUCAUCAAUAUAAUUAGUUAGAGGUAUGAGCAUAAGAAAACAAUAUGGAUGCUUCUUUACAAUCUUCAUGACUCAAAGGAGACCGUAUGUUUACUCAGAAAGGGAAGUGGUGCUAAUCUACUUUUAUAGCUUAACAAAUGAGGUGUGGCCACAAUAGUCCUCCUUAAUGAAAUAGCCUUGUGAGUUACAAGUCUCCACUUUUUGUAAGAGCUGGUGUGUUCUCUGAGGUAAUGAAUGAAAGACCUUGAAAGUCUUUCAUUAUAUGAAAAGGCCAAAAAAAAAAAAAAAAAAGGCCCAACUCUUAGCAUUAACAAAACAUCUCACCUGGGUUGGAAAGUCUUCUAAAGUAUUUUAUUUUAUUUAUUAUAUUUCUACACCAACUAUUUCACUUAAGGGACUCUAGGCGGUUUACAACACCUUUACAAAAUCAUAUAAAUGCAUAAAGCAUAGCUUAAAAACAAGUUCAAACUUACGAGUUGAAGAUAAAUUGGGCUAAAAAUUCAAAGGCUAGGGAGGUUAAGAAGAAAUAGGGGUGUCCUCAGGCCCACCAGAUACCCCGUGGCUGCAUCAGACUUUUAGAUCCCCAGGCUAAUUGGCAAAACCAGGACUUGCCACUCUUCCACAAAACCAGAAGAUGGGCUUGCUUCAUCUCUGGAGGUAAGAUGUCCCAUAGGGCUGGGGCAGAGCUGAGCAGGCCCUCUUAGAUCCUGGCAGUUGAAACUCCUUGACCAAGAAGAUAUGCAGCAUGCCCUCCCUUGCUUUGGAGAAUGGGUCAACCUGAGGGGUGACAAUCUUCGGGCAAGACAAGGCAUAAUGGACAGAAGCUUAACAAGAGAGAUCUCACCUAAAAUUAGGAGAAAUUUCCUAACAGUGAGGACAGUCGUUCAGUGGAACAACUCGCCUCCAGAAGUUGUGGGUGCUCCAUCACUGGAGGUUUUCAAGAAACGACUGGAGAGCCAUUUGUUCGAAAUGACAUAAGACCUCUGCUUGGGCAUAAGGUUAGACUAGAAGACCUCCAAGGUCCCUUCCAAAUCUGUAAUUGGAAACGUCGGCAAGUCAACAACCAAACUCGGCUUGACCAGGUAGGAUAGGUCAAUGUAAUUCGGAUGAGAUGGUUUCUUGGGCAUCCCGGUUCCAAUGCCAAUAAACGGCUUUAAAAGGGAUAACGAACACCUUGAAUGGGACCCAGAAGUAGGGGUUGAUCCGAUCAACCUCCCUCACCUUCUCAACACAAAUAAAGAGAGUAAGCACUUGUAAUCCGUAUCUGCACAUAGAAAUCUCCAGAACUGGCACACUAUCUACGGCAAGUAUCUCUUAGGCCUGGGGCCAAAAAACAAGGACUUUGAUAGCGUGGGAAGAGCACUUACAAUGACAAGUGUUUCGAGCACCUCCCUAGGCCAGGAACCGGUGGUGCUACUGAGACAAGGCAGGUGCUUGUUCUACAAAGGGACGUUUGGGAGAAUAGGCCAUCAAAGGACUUAGAGCAAUGUUCUUCAACCUGGGCAACUUUUAAGGUGGGUGGACUUCAACUCCCAGAAUUCCCCAGCCAGUGCAAGCUGAUGACAUACUUAACUCUGCCCCCAAACUCUGCCUGCUUUUCCACAGAGAGCCAAUAGAUGGCCUAAGAAGGCUACAGAAAGAAUCAAUGCCGCCAUCUAGUGGCAACCCAGAUACUUUUUAGUAGCCCUCUGUUAAAGGCAAUUCCAUCCAACUAAAGAGACUAUAUAGCUUGGGGUUGAAUUAUGAGGUCCUUUCUGCUCUCUGAGCGCAGUUGUUUUCUUGAAGAUGUUUCAUUACCCAACUAGGUAACAUCAUCAGUGUUAGAAGAUUAAGUGGGGUUUGCAGAGUGGAGGAGGAGGAGGAGGAUUGUGGCUUCCUUAGUGCUCCUUGAUUGUAUUUUUUUGGGAGAGGUUUAAUUCCCAACUAGGUAACAUCGUCAAUAUCUAACAAUCCCCAUCACUGCAAAGCACCAACAACACCAUCCCAGCACUGAUGAGGUUCCCUAGUCAGGUAAUCAAACGUUUGCAAGUCAACAGCGAAAGACAGAGAGAAAGCAAGGACUGUAUAAACAGGUUCCCUGUUGCCCUUGAGAUGUGGGAGAUUUGAUCCAUUAGUGCUACUCAUAACAAAGAGUAUGUAUGAAAAAAAAUAAGCUCUUGGGCAGGACUCUUAAGAUAAUGGUUAAGUUCAUUUGCUUUGGCUCUAAGCCAUAGCGAGAUAACGAGGCACAUAUUCAUGGGCAGAAACAGCACACAAUUUCAGGAAGCUGGAAUCUACUCUGCCCU